UUUCCAGGUUGAGGGAAAACUCAGGGAUGUUUAAUCAGGGGGCAGGGAGCCCCUUUUAAAGACAGAAAUCAGUCAUAUGCAGAAAGCAAGAUUUCAGAGAAAAUACAUCUUUAACCCCUUAAGGACGGCGGGCGAAACAGUAAUAUUUGUGUUCAGCGAAGUCUCCCGAGUAUAACAGUACCCCUCAUGAACAGGUUUUAUAGUGUUUUCAAGGGCAGAGAGUCAAAUAUAAGGGUUGAGUUUCAGGUUUUUCACAUUGAAAUUCGCCAGGUUGGUUACGUUGCCUCUGAGACCGUACGGUAGCCCAGGAAUAAGACUUACCCCCAUAAUGGCAUACCAUUUGCAAAAGUAGACAACCCAAGGUAUUGCAAAUGGGGUAUGUUCAGUCUUUUUUCGUAGCCACUUAGUCACAAACACUGGCCAAAAUUGACAUUUAAAUUAGUUUUUUGCAUUUUCAAAUAUUAACACUAACUUUGGCCAGUGUUUAAAAUAUGUUUUAAAAUGCGGUUUUAAAAUAAUUUAAUAUGAAUAAAAUACACAUAUUUGUAUGCUUUGAUGUCCCACAUAUACAUCAAUGUACCCCACGUAUAGGUUUCAUGCUGUUUUGGAAAGUUACAGGGUCAAAUAUAGGGCUUGCCAAUUUCAGUUUUGAAAUUUGCCAGAUUGGGUUAUUGUUGUCAUUGAGACCAUAUGGAAUGAAAAUUACUCCCUUAAUGGCAUUUCCCUUGCAAAUGUAGACUACCCAGGGUAUUCAAAAUGGGGUAUGUCCACUCUUUUUAGUAGCCACAAACCCUGGUCAAAGUUAGUGUUCAUAUUUGUUUCUUUUUUUUUUUUGCAUUUCUCACUGAAUACAAUGAAUGCAACACUGCCUUCAAAAACACUGUACACAAAUACAGCACUAUAUCCAAAUGACAGGUUAUUCACAAAACUCAGAAUUUUCAUAAAUUAAAUCCAUAAUUAAAAAAAAACUGUAAAAAUAGCUGAUUUGAAAAUAUUCUCAAACUCACUUUUUCUAUUCUGAUUUUAAUGAAG